rnacentral:rRNA from 1 species
UAUUGGACAAUGGGCGCAAGCCUGAUCCAGCCAUGCCGCGUGAGUGAUGAAGGCCCUAGGGUUGUAAAGCUAUUUCAGUGGGGACGAUAAUGACGGUACCCACAGAAGAAGCCCCGGCUAACUUCGUGCCAGCAGCCGCGGUAAUAAGAAGGGGGCUAGCGUUGUUCGGAAUUACUGGGCGUAAAGCGCACGUAGGCGGAUAUUUAAGUCAGGGGUGAAAUCCCGGGGCUCAACCCCGGAACUGCCUUUGAUACUGGGUAUCUUGAGUUCGGAAGAGGUAAGUGGAAUUGCGAGUGUAGAGGUGAAAUUCGUAGAUAUUCGCAGGAACACCAGUGGCGAAGGCGGCUUACUGGUCCGAUACUGACGCUGAGGUGCGAAAGCGUGGGGAGUAAACAG